rnacentral:misc_RNA from 1 species
GUGAAUCAUCAAAUUUUUGGACGCAAAUUGCACUCCCUGGUAUUCCGGGGAGUAUGCCUGUUUGAGGGUCGUUAGAAUAAAAAAUCGAGGCGUCGCCCUUUUUUUAAGGGUGAUCGCGUCGGAAUUGAGCCGUCUUUCUAAUGUUAAUUACUGUCAAAGUGGCUUAAAAUUCAUCCAUCCGGUACGAUUAAAGCGUAUUUAAGAUCAAUUUUGAUUACGAACGCGCGAUGACGUACUAUUUCAUGUAGUACGUUUGUCCUGGGUC